ensembl:lncRNA
ACCCAAGUCUAAGAGAGGUGGGAUGCAACCAUCCCAAACACCGGGGUGCAGUGAAGCACAGAAGAGAAGCUCAGUGUAAUAUUUUUCAGAAAAAAUGAAAGAGAAAGAGACAGGUUCCCUGAGAUUUCCCAGGACUGCAAGUUAGAGUCUGGGGGCUGGUCUUUCCAGAUCUGCCUUGACCAGCCCUCUGGGUUCCUUCUCUACCUGGCCCUUUUCUCUUCUGGACUUUUCUUCAGUGGUGAGGAAUUCAUUCCUAGGUUUCUACAGGGAAAAAGAAAUACUUCAACAGUCUUUGGUUUCAGGCUGACAUUCCUUGAGUAAAGGAUGCUCCACUUGCUUCCUUCCAUUCCUGUGUCUCUUUAAGAAAGAUCGCUUCUUACUUUUGAUCAUCACACCAGUCACAUGUCUCACGCAAGGACCUGCAUGGAGUUUCUGGUGCAAAUCUAGUUCCCUUGAGCUGAGAUGCCCCGCUGGCAGGGAGCUGAGACAACUCCCUCCUCUCAGGACCCAUCAGGAGAGUCUCUUCCACACCACUCUUCCUUUUACAAAGAUGUCUCCGAUGGUUUCCAGAGUGAUCCAGAAGAUCUUACUAAAAUGCUUAAAAAGACAAAGUCAGAGGAUGAAUCUAGAGAUGGACAUGUUUUCUGCUAUGCAAUAGGGGAUAUACCAGUGAAUUGGGUAGCUGCAUUCUCUGUUCCCAUGGAAUCCAGUGGGGGAAACAGACAAGUGAAGGCAAUUACCAGUGUGAGUCAUACUGAGAGAAGAAUAUGAUGAGAGCACAAAAAGGGAUAUGCGACCCUGAUGUAUCAGGAAGACAUCCUAAAAGAGAUGGAGGUUGGGGAUAAGGAUGCUAAUGUUAUUGCAGAACCUCUGUGAUGAGGUCUCAGAAACUGACUCCAGUAGAGAAUAGAGGUGUGUGUCACUGAGGGACCCUUGCUUGGGGAACACCUCUAUGAGAUCCACUUGGAUGGAUUGCGUCACUACCCUGGCUGAGCUGAUGGAUUUCACAGCUGCACUUUGAUGGCUCUCGACUUCUCCAUCACUAAGUCAGUCGACGAGCCAGAGCUCCUCCUUCUUUAUUUCCUGCCUCUCUUAAGCAACAGCUGUGUAAGUCGGUGCUCUUGAAGGGGAAAUGUUGAAAAGUAGAUAGGAGUCCCAAGAGGAAUGUGUGGUGAGGGGAGUGGGAGACCAGGCUGAUUCUUACUUCGGCUCAGUUAUAUAUGGCACCUGCCUCACCUCAUCUGAGCUUUCAGCCCUCAGGUCAUGAUGAAAAAGAAGAUGCUGGGAUCAUCCUGUCAAACUGUCAAAUUUGCGGUGAAUGAAAUAUCCACAAGGGAUCUCCAAGAAGACAGAAUGCUCAUAUUUACUUUCAACCAGGGAGAAUUUGAACCUAUGUCUCCAGAUUUGGAAGUCUAGGAUAUUAAUUCAUUGUGACAUCUGGUCCUUCUCUUUGAUAUUUUAAAAAUAGCCUAGAAACAGAAUUGUGAAUCCCUGCUCUAAAGUGCUACUCUUAGAUUCUGGGAAAGAAUGCAAUUCUGAGUUUAUCUUGUUUAUCCAACAGGUCUCUGGUCAUUUGUGUAACAUGAUAUUCAUCCAUUGGAUGCUCUAAGCCAAUUGCUAACACAAGGUUUCCAUUUUGUUAUAAUCAUCCAUGAAAGAAAAGAAUGUGGAAAUGUCUAUCUUUCCAUUUUCAAGGACUGUGGUGGCACCAGUAGCAGGCUGCUUCUAGUCUUUGCUGCAACCACCACUUGAGAAUGUAAGAUUCUCUAAGAACGCUAGAAUUUUGCAACUAGGAUGAAAAAUCAGCAGUAUGUAACAGUGUGUAACGAGGAUCCUAAAGAUGCUCACAUCCUUUGUUCCAGUCAAUAAGGGACUGCAAAGAAAUGUCACUCAACAGACCCACAAAUAUGCAUUACCAAAGAUUUUCAUUCUAGUAUUUUCUUUCUUUUUGGUAAAAGUAAAAACAUGAGAGACCACCAAGAUCAAUAAAAAGUAGAUAUGAUCGUAGUGGUGAAUUGAGUUUGAAUUUCAUUCUGCAUUCUUAUCCUAAAGGAAUUCACACAAGCCUGGUACAGAUGGGUUCUUAAUUAUAUUUAUUUCAAAUUUAAUAUUUAAUUGAAUACACUCUAAAUAUAAAUAAUAAAUAAAUGCUAAUUAAAUAGUAAUGAGUUCAGCAAUAUGUGAACCGUGAACUUCCUGAUGUUCAAGCUGGUUUUAGAAAAGGAAGAGGAACCAGAGAUCAAAUGGCCAACAUCUGCUGGAUCAUGGAAAAAGUAAGAGAGUUCCAGAAAAACAUCUAUUUCUGCUU